ACAUCCAGAGAAUUUAGCAGAGAUGCUUUAGUGCCUUCGGGAACUCUGAGACAGGUGCUGCAUGGCUGUCGUCAGCUCGUGUUGUGAAAUGUUGGGUUAAGUCCCCGNAACGAGCGCAACCCUUUAUCCUUUGUUGCCAGCACGUAAUGGUGGGAACUCAAAGGAGACUGCCGGUGAUAAACCGGAGGAAGGUGGGGAUGACGUCAAGUCAUCAUGGCCCUUACGAGUAGGGCUACACACGUGCUACAAUGGCGCAUACAAAGAGAAGCGACCUCGCGAGAGCAAGCGGACCUCAUAAAGUGCGUCGUAGUCCGGAUUGGAGUCUGCAACUCGACUCCAUGAAGUCGGAAUCGCUAGUAAUCGUAAAUCAGAAUGUUACGGUGAAUACGUUCCCGGGCCUUGUACACACCGCCCGUCACACCAUGGGAGUGGGUUGCAAAAGAAGUAGAUAGCUUAACCUUCGGGAGGGCGUUUACCACUUUGUGAUUCAUGACUGGGGUGAAGUCGUAACAAGGUAAGCGUAGUGCU
rnacentral:rRNA from 1 species